AUGAAGUUAGCGGCUCUUUGGGUGAGUAACACGUGGGUAACCUGCCCAUAAGACUGGCAUAACUCCGGGAAACCGGGGCUAAUACCGGAUAACAUUUUGAACCGCAUGGUUCGAAAUUGAAAGGCGGCUUCGGCUGUCACUUAUGGAUGGACCCGCGUCGCAUUAGCUAGUUGGUGAGGUAACGGCUCACCAAGGCAACGAUGCGUAGCCGACCUGAGAGGGUGAUCGGCCACACUGGGACUGAGACACGGCCCAGACUCCUACGGGAGGCAGCAGUAGGGAAUCUUCCGCAAUGGACGAAAGUCUGACGGAGCAACGCCGCGUGAGUGAUGAAGGCUUUCGGGUCGUAAAACUCUGUUGUUAGGGAAGAACAAGUGCUAGUUGAAUAAGCUGGCACCUUGACGGUACCUAACCAGAAAGCCACGGCUAACUACGUGCCAGCAGCCGCGGUAAUACGUAGGUGGCAAGCGUUAUCCGGAAUUAUUGGGCGUAAAGCGCGCGCAGGUGGUUUCUUAAGUCUGAUGUGAAAGCCCACGGCUCAACCGUGGAGGGU
rnacentral:rRNA from 1 species